rnacentral:rRNA from 1 species
GAUGAACGCUGGCGGCGUGCCUAAUACAUGCAAGUCGAGCGAACGGACGAGAAGCUUGCUUCUCUGAUGUUAGCGGCGGACGGGUGAGUAACACGUGGAUAACCUACCUAUAAGACUGGGAUAACUUCGGGAAACCGGAGCUAAUACCGGAUGAUAUUUUGAACCGCAUGGUUCAAUAGUGAAAGACGGUCUUGCUGUCACUUAUAGAUGGAUCCGCGCCGCAUUAGCUAGUUGGUAAGGUAACGGCUUACCAAGGCAACGAUGCGUAGCCGACCUGAGAGGGUGAUCGGCCACACUGGAACUGAGACACGGUCCAGACUCCGACGGGAGGCAGCAGUAGGGAAUCUUACGCAAUGGGCGAAAGCCUGAAGGAGCAACGCCGCGUGAGUGAUGAAGGUCUUCGGAUCGUAAAACUCUGUUAUUAGGGAAGAACAAAUGUGUAAGUAACUAUGCACGUCUUGACGGUACCUAAUCAGAAAGCCACGGCUAACUACGUG